CAACUUUCAGCAACGGAUCUCUUGGCUCUCGCAUCGAUGAAGAACGCAGCGAAAUGCGAUAAGUAAUGUGAAUUGCAGAAUUCAGUGAAUCAUCGAAUCUUUGAACGCACCUUGCGCUCCUUGGUAUUCCGAGAAGCAUGCCUGUUUGAGUGUCAUUAA
rnacentral:rRNA from 1 species